rnacentral:rRNA from 1 species
AUUGAACGCUGGCGGCAUGCCUUACACAUGCAAGUCGAACGGUAACGGGCCUUCGGGUGCCGACGAGUGGCGCACGGGUGAGUAAUACAUCGGAACGUGCCCGAUCGUGGGGGAUAACGAGGCGAAAGCUUUGCUAAUACCGCAUACGAUCUACGGAUGAAAGCAGGGGACCGCAAGGCCUUGCGCGGACGGAGCGGCCGAUGGCAGAUUAGGUAGUUGGUGGGAUAAAAGCUUACCAAGCCGACGAUCUGUAGCUGGUCUGAGAGGAUGAUCAGCCACACUGGGACUGAGACACGGCCCAGACUCCUGCGGGAGGCAGCAGUGGGGAAUUUUGGACAAUGGGCGCAAGCCUGAUCCAGCCAUGCCGCGUGCAGGAUGAAGGCCUUCGGGUUGUAAACUGCUUUUGUACGGAACGAAAAGCCUUCUUUUAAUACAGGAGGGUCAUGACGGUACCGUAAGAAUAAGCACCGGCUAACUACGUG